CCGGAACUGCAGCUCCGGCGGGUAGUCUCGGACGCACCCGAUCCGGGGCCCCGCGCCCGUGGUCCACCGGAGCGACAGCUGCUGCCCGAGCUGGUCGCAGCAACUUACUGGGCCAAGAUACCUGAUGCAUUGCUGCAGCAGCUUCCAUCUUGGGCAGUGGUUCUCAAGAUUAACCUCCUUUCCUUCACCUAUAUCCAACCUACCACAAACAGACUUUCAGAAACCAUGAGCUUGUAUUUGUCGAUCUCUGUUCACAGAUAAUGUAUAGAGUUCAGCAUGAACUGCACCAGUAGAAGAAAGGUUGUUGGCUGUCACAGCGAAGCCAGCUUUGGUAAUAGUAGUGGAGGUUGUGGCCGUACCGGUGUCGAGGGUCAAUCUGCCCAUGAAACACUAAGGAAUUUAAGUUUGAUGUGUGCAGUUCUAUUGUCGGAUAGCGUUUGAGGAAAGUGUUGGAUAGUGUUUGAGUCAUACUGCUUCUAGCCAGUGCUGAAGUGCGAGUUUCUGAGCCUUUUCAUCCUUCGACAAACCUUUCCCUACCUGAAGAUACAACAAGGAAUGACCAUCCAUAUGAGUUCACUAUUCAGUUAUCAUAUGCCAUUGGUCUUUAAGAAAAACAAGACCGCAAGAUUUAAGGCAUAAUGUGAGACAUUUUUUUUUCGAUAAAGGGAAUAUAUUAAAUAAUAAUGUGAGACAUACCUUGGCAGCUCUUAUUCUAGCACGAGACCAUCUUGAUAGGGCAGUCUCCGGCUUCUCUACCUCGAAGAAUGACACUGAACUGCGCUUGAGCAAUGCGAAAUCUAGCAGUUUCCACCUGCAUUCGGGGUCACACAUAUCAGGCAUCAUUGCACCAGUGACAGAAACAGCGCAUGAAACUGUAACAUACCAACGUUGUUCGACAAGAACAGCGCAAUCAGCAAGCUGCCGUCUUGUCCUGAAGCUCUUGUAUACCUUCUGCACCCUUAGUGCUGCAUCCUGGUGCUGUGGGCUAACCAUAGCGACCACCGGAGAAUUUGGUGGCAGGUAAUCUGUGUUCCCAUAUUUUGGAAUGCCAUAACCGUGCUUAUGGUUAGAACAGUCUCUCUCUGCUUUAGGACUCACCACGGAUAUUGUGGUUUCGACAUGUAAUGGGUGACACUCUUUUCUCCUGGCAUUUAAGGACCCUUUUAACGUAUGCUCCCUAGAGCUCACGGCAUCGAGAUAUUCUGGUGACGAUUCAGGGCUGUCGAGACUGCUGAGAAUGUCCAAGCUGAAGGACCGGACAAAUAGCCUAUCUGAGUCCUCGUCAUCCUCUGGAAGAUCUCUGCAGAAGCGGGUGCUUUAUGAGUGCAUCGCCCCACUAUGUCAAUAAAGGGAAGCAAAAGGACAUCAGAUGUGGGUUAUUUGAAUUAACAGAGCUGUCAUAACAACAUAUUUCUUGAAUUCCUUUCCAUUGUUCUCUAUCCUAUCAAAGCAUACCAAACCUAGAUUUUAUGCAAUAAAUGUUUAAUCUCUGGCUUAUACUAAGAUCAUGUAUUCAUAAGCGUUGUAUAUCAUAUUUUUAUUAUCUUUAUAAGCAGAUGCCAGACAAUGUGGAACAAAUGCAAACAUCAAAAGUACUAUAUGCAUAUCUAGAAACGACGCAUUUUGUUGCUUGUUUCUUGACAAGUGCACAUUGUUCCAGCAUAAACAUUAUACAACCAAGUGACCAAGAGGAUCAUGGAAAGGAAAUUAUGGAGCAAAAAUCAUAUAACCGUCCACCAUACCUCAUUG